rnacentral:rRNA from 1 species
CACGUAGGGCGCAAGCGUUGUCCGGAAUUAUUGGGCGUAAAGAGCUCGUAGGCGGUCUGUUACGUCUGCUGUGAAAACCUGGGGCUCAACCCCAGGCGUGCACCCGAUACUCCCGGGCUGGAGGCAGGUAGGGGAGAUCGGAAUUCCUGGUGUAGCGGUGAAAUGCGCAGAUAUCAGGAGGAACACCUGAGGUGAAGACGGGUUGCUGGGCUGACACUGACGCUGAGGCGCGAAAGCCAGGGGAGCAAACGGG